rnacentral:misc_RNA from 1 species
GCCUGAGUGGCCAUCGAUUUAAACAUGGGUAGCAACUCCCUUUUUUCAGAGGAGCUGCAAAUUCCCUCCGUAACACCCUGAAAAAGCUGAAGAAUCUGGCCCACGUAGCUCUUCAUAACAAACUGAAGAAUCAGGUCCACGUAGCUCUAAAAAUAAAACCUUUAGCACUUGCAAGUGAGAGUAACAUAAUUAUACAAAUGCAGUAAAUAAAUUAACUAAAUGAAAAUGAAUUGACUAAGCAAUUUACAAAAAAUAGAACAUUUUAUCAUUUGGCCUAAAAAUAAAUAUGCAAAUUCACAUAGAUGUUGAUACACAAU